UGGUAAUGAUGAGGACAAUCUCUGAGAAGAUCCUUGAACCUCUCCCGUGCCUCAUAUAAAUGCUCUAUAUUAUUUUUCCUGAUGACAUGAUAUCACUCUUGAGCCU